rnacentral:piRNA from 1 species
UCCAUUAAUUGUACUUGAUACUGUCUGGUAGC